rnacentral:rRNA from 1 species
CAGUAGCCGCGGGAAAACAGAGGGUGCGAGCGUUAAUCGGAUUUACUGGGCGUAAAGCGUGCGUAGGCGGCUUCUUAAGUCGGAUGUGAAAUCCCUGAGCUUAACUUAGGAAUUGCAUUCGAUACUGGGAAGCUAGAGUAUGGGAGAGGAUGGUAGAAUUCCAGGUGUAGCGGUGAAAUGCGUAGAGAUCUGGAGGAAUACCGAUGGCGAAGGCAGCCAUCUGGCCUAAUACUGACGCUGAGGUACGAAAGCGUGGGGAGCAAACAGGAUUAGAUACCCCGGUAGUCCCUGUCUCUUAUAC